GUUCCAGAUUUCUGAAGCAUCACAAACCCAAUUGACAAUAUAUGAAACCAGGCCAAUUCUAGUGGUAGCUUCAAAAUAAUGCUAUGGGAAAGUGUGAAAGGCUUCGGGGAACUUCAAAGAUGUAAAAAGAUCUAAGAGAGGACAAGACAUACUUCGAGAAUGAUCGCCUGUUUCAGCAAAUCCACCUCGAGCUUGCUCUGAGCUCUCUUCCAACGCGGAGACAAGAUCAUGAACCAGUUCUUCCAUGAACAGAUAAAGAGAAGACUUUCUCAAUCCUUCUUCCAACCAUCCCCUCCUCCUAACUGACUUCUAAGUGAAGAAGGAAGCUGUAUAAUUCUUUACUCACCACAUGCUCUACCCAGUCACUACCACAAUAGGCAAGAGAGAUGGAAAGACUGACAGAAAAACGAAAAAAGGGAGACCUGAAUCAACACACGACACAGGGCAGAAAAAGUGGUGAAGGUGUGAUGAAUCCGAAGGACCAAUGCUGUAGCCGUCAGUAAAACAUACACUGUGAGCAAUUCACUAAAUGGACAUACUCUUUCAUUUAAUGAGUUUGAAUUUUCCAGAUCUCCUUCGGCAUUCUGAAUGAAUAAAAGCUUACAUGAACACA